GAAUCUCUAACGAAAGGGAAUUGGAGGCCGCACACGGUCCGGUAACUGUGACGUCGGCUCCGCCAAGGCGAGUAGCCAGGGUUGGACCGCCCGCUGCUUUCCCUCUGCGCGCAAAUCCUGACUGGCUUGGGCAAAAGCAUCCAAAGACCCUAGGAUUGCAGAAGGUCAACAGUCUCCACUGGAGAAAAGGCUCCUGAGUCUUGGUGGUGUGCACACU